rnacentral:rRNA from 1 species
UACCAGCACCCCGAGUGCUCGGAAUUAUUGGGCGUAAAGCGCACGUAGGCGGUUUGUUAAGUCGGAUGUGAAAUCCCUCGGCUCAACUGAGGAAGUGCAUCCGAAACUGGCAAGCUUGAGUACGAAAGAGGAUCGCGGAAUUCCCGGUGUAGAGGUGAAAUUCGUAGAUAUCGGGAGGAACACCGGUGGCGAAGGCGGCGAUCUGGGUCGAUACUGACGCUGAGGUGCGAAAGCGUGGGGAGCAAACAGG